UUAACAUACUUUAUGCAUUAAAUGUUAUGUUAUUAAAUAUAUCCCUUAAAUUCAACAUUAGAAAUUUUAUUUUGCGACACGUGGCACAAUUUUGUUCACAAAAUUUUCAGCUUCCACACUCGUAAAGUAGUAGCAGGGAUUCGUUGUUCGUUGACGUCUGCGAAUAAGAGCAUCUCCAUUCUCCAAUAGCCAUUGAAGAGUCAUCCGAUGAUCUUCGCUUUCUCAAUCUGAAUGACUCCAAUUACUCCGAAGAUGAAGAAGAACUAUGAUGCCCUAUCAGUGAGGAUGAAGGAUAAGGUGAGAAAAGCCACAAGAAAGGCAACAUCAUCUUCAUCAAAAGAAAUUGAUUUUAUCGGAUGAAAUGAUUAACGAAAUUUCUGGCAACAUAAACUUGUUAUGUUCAUACAUAUAAUAUAUAAUGAGCAUUUGGAAUUCGAAAAAGGAAGUGCGAAGAAUAAAAAUUAGAGCACCAAAAAUGAAGAAGAGAAGCCAAGGGACUGGGGGUUAAAACAUUUAAUCGCUGAACAAAGGAUCGAAGAAGCUCAGAUGGCGAUCCCACUAAUGCAAUUGAAAAUUUAAGGGUAAUACUAAUGGUGAGUUCCUUUGAAUACAUGUUAAAUUAAUAUAUUACAAUAUAGUACUGAUUUUGUAAAAUAUUAUUAUUUACAUUAUAUCCGUAAUUCAUAAAAUUAUAAAAUAUUGAAAGGUAAGGAAUAAUAUUUCUUGUCUUA